rnacentral:lncRNA from 1 species
CAGUCAUCUGGUGAAAGACUGGAAGUCAGAAGACUUUUCAAAAGCUUCUCACUGAAAUGAAAAAAAAUCAAGGCCUGGAAAGGUUCUUUGAUGCACAGUUGACAACUAAUGGCAGAGUGGGCCUAGAAGCUGGGCCUCCUUACUGCCAGACAGAACUCCAGCAUGCUGCCUUCUAUAAUCAGGGUAAUGAGCUAUAGGAUGGUAGAUGAUGCAGCAUUCAAAGACUUGGAAGUAGAAGGUGCCAUGCAUCUAACCAUCAUGGUAUCCACACAACCAGCACCCUCUUCCCUCCUCUCUCCCCAUUGUUCUGUAAGUAGGAGAACGAGAAGGACAUGUUCUCUUUCUGUUGUUUUAUGGUAUUUUGUGGGUAGCAAGUAACAAUAUUAACAAUUAAUAAAAAAAAAAAUUAGAAGGCAUCUCA